rnacentral:rRNA from 1 species
AGUGAACGCUGGCGGUAGGCCUAACACAUGCAAGUCGAACGGCAGCACAGUAAGAGCUUGCUCUUACGGGUGGCGAGUGGCGGACGGGUGAGGAAUACAUCGGAAUCUACUUUUUCGUGGGGGAUAACGUAGGGAAACUUACGCUAAUACCGCAUACGACCUACGGGUGAAAGCAGGGGAUCUUCGGACCUUGCGCGAUUGAAUGAGCCGAUGUCGGAUUAGCUAGUUGGCGGGGUAAAGGCCCACCAAGGCGACGAUCCGUAGCUGGUCUGAGAGGAUGAUCAGCAACACGGGAAAUGAGACAAGGUCCAGACACCGAAGGGAGGCAGCAGUGGGGAAUAUUGGACAAUGAGCGGAAGCCUGAUCCAGCCAUACCGCGUGGGUGAAGAAGGCCUUCGGGUUGUAAAGCCCUUUUGUUGGGAAAGAAAAGCAGCAGGUUAAUACCCAGCUGUUCUGACGGUACCCAAAGAAUAAGCACCGGCUAACUUCGUG